rnacentral:rRNA from 1 species
UCGGGAAUAUUGGACAAUGGGGGCAACCCUGAUGACGCAACGCCGCGUGGGGGAUGAAGGUCUUCGGAUUGUAAACCCCUGUCGAAUGGGACGAAAGACUCGCGAGUUAAUACUUCGCGGGAGUGACGGUACCGUUAAAGGAAGCCACGGCUAACUCUGUGCCAGCAGCCGCGGUAAUACAGAGGUGGCAAGCGUUGUUCGGAAUUACUGGGCGUAAAGGGCGCGUAGGCGGCCCUCUAAGUCAGACGUGAAAUCCCCCGGCUUAACCUGGGAACUGCGUCUGAUACUGGAGGGCUUGAGUAUGGGAGAGGGAUGUAGAAUUCCAGGUGUAGCGGUGAAAUGCGUAGAGAUGUGGAGGAACACCGAUGGCGAAGGCAGCCCCCUGGGUCAACACUGACGCUCAUGCACGAAAGCGUGGGGAGCAAACAGGAUUAGAUACCCCUGUAGUCCCUGAGCGGGCUGGCAAGGCGCAU